rnacentral:rRNA from 1 species
AGGAGAGCCGUAAUGAUUAAUAGGGACAGUUGGGGGCAUCCGUAUUCAGCUGUCAGAGGUGAAAUUCUUGGAUUUACUGAAGACGAACUACUGCGAAAGCAUUUGCCAAAGAUGUUUUCAUUAAUCAGUGAACGAAAGUUAGGGGAUCGAAGACGAUCAGAUACCGUCGUAGUCUUAACCAUAAACUAUGCCGACUAGGGAUCGGGCGAUGUUAUUGUAUUGACUCGCUCGGCACCUUUCGAGAAAUCAAAGUGUUUGGGUUCUGGGGGGAGUAUGGUCGCAAGGCUGAAACUUAAAGAAAUUGACGGAAGGGCACCACCAGGAGUGGAGCCUGCGGCUUAAUUUGACUCAACACGGGGAAACUCACCAGGUCCAGAUACACGUAGGAUUGACAGAUUGAGAGCUCUUUCUUGAUUGUGUAGUUGGUGGUGCAUGGCCGUUCUUAGUUGGUGGAGUGAUUUGUCUGCUUAAUUGCGAUAACGAACGAGACCUUCAUCGUUAACUAGCCCGGCUCGCCUUGGCGGGUCGCCGGCUUCUUAGCGAGACUUUUGGCUUAAGCCAAAGGAUGUUGGAGGCAAUAACAGGUCUGUGAUGCCCUUAGAUGUUCUGGGCUGCACGCGCGCUACACUGACAGAGGCAACGAGUUUCGUUCCUUGGCCGGAAGGCCUGGGUGAUCGUGUAGUUUC